UGUGGCGUCUGUCACGGAAGAGGUGAUGAUAGGGAUAUUAUUGUUAUGAUCCAACUGGCAAACGAAUAAAACAAACACCAAAUGCGUCACUUGUUUAACUUAUGCUAUUGGAGUUUCCUGACAUUAAUCAGUUCAAUCAAAAGUUAACAGCCGGUGCCUGACCGUGCAUAAAGCUACUACUUUUACGUUUACCAACAUUUAAAGGAUUGGAAUAAUUUCACAAAACCUAUGCGUAAUUUAUCUCGGAUUUGCCUACCCAUUACAAGAUAUAUUACAAAAUUCAGUGAGAAUCCAAUGACCAAACAUAUGUCAUUAUACUUUGUUAGUCUA
rnacentral:lncRNA from 1 species